AAAAGGAGCAUUUUUUUUAAUAAUAAAUUAAUAAAAGCUCCGGCCAACUUCCCGGUAAUACUCCGCCGCCGUGCAUCCCGGACUUUAGUUCAGUUGGGUUACUGAAAUUUAACGAAAUGGGUCAAGAAUCUUUCAUAUACAGUUUUGUAGCUCGUGGUACUAUGGUACUAGCUGAAUACACAGAGUUCACCGGGAAUUUCCCGGCGAUUGCAGCUCAGUGUUUGCAGAAAUUGCCCUCUUCAAAUAAUAAGUUCACUUAUAAUUGUGAUCAUCAUACUUUUAACUUCCUUGUUCAAGAUGGUUAUGCUUAUUGUGUAGUUUCCAAAGAAUCUGUGGGCAAGCAAAUUUCUAUUGCAUUUUUGGAACGUGUGAGAGCUGAUUUUAAU
rnacentral:misc_RNA from 1 species